UGGGGAAUAUUGGACAAUGGGCGCAAGCCUGAUCCAGCCAUGCCGCGUGAGUGAUGAAGGCCCUAGGGUUGUAAAGCUCUUUUGUGCGGGAAGAUAAUGACGGUACCGCAAGAAUAAGCCCCGGCUAACUUCGUGCCAGCAGCCGCGGUAAUACGAAGGGGGCUAGCGUUGCUCGGAAUCACUGGGCGUAAAGGGUGCGUAGGCGGGUCUUUAAGUCAGGGGUGAAAUCCUGGAGCUCAACUCCAGAACUGCCUUUGAUACUGAAGAUCUUGAGUUCGGGAGAGGUGAGUGGAACUGCGAGUGUAGAGGUGAAAUUCGUAGAUAUUCGCAAGAACACCAGUGGCGAAGGCGGCUCACUGGCCCGAUACUGACGCUGAUGCACGAAAGCGUGGGGAGCAAACAGAAUUAGAUACCCUGGUAGUCCACGCCGUAAACGAUGAAUGCCAGCCGUUAGUGGGUUUACUCACUAGUGGCGCAGCUAACGCUUUAAGCAUUCCGCCUGGGGAGUACGGUCGCAAGAUUA
rnacentral:rRNA from 1 species